rnacentral:rRNA from 1 species
UACGGAGGGUGCGAGCGUUGUCCGGAAUCAUUGGGCGUAAAGGGCGCGUAGGUGGCGGGACAAGCGUGCGGUGAAAGCCUGGGGCUCAACCCCGGGUCGGCCGUGCGAACUGUUUUGCUUGAGCACUGUAGAGGCAGGCGGAAUUCCGGGUGUAGCGGUGAAAUGCGUAGAUAUGUGGAAGAACACCGGUGGUGAAGACGGUUUUCUGGGCCAAUCCUGACGCUGAGGCGCGAAAGCUAGGGGAGCAAACAGG